GAAAUGCGAUAAGUAGUGUGAAUUGCAGAAUUCAGUGAAUCAUCGAAUCUUUGAACGCACAUUGCGCCCUUUGGUAUUCCAAAGGGCAUGCCUGUUCGAGCGUCAUUUGUACCCUCAAGCUUUGCUUGGUGUUGGGCGUCUUGUCUCUAGCUUUGCUGGAGACUCGCCUUAAAGUAAUUGGCAGCCGGCCUACUGGUUUCGGAGCGCAGCACAAGUCGCACUCUCUAUCAGCAAAGGUCUAGCAUCCAUUAAGCCUUUUUUUCAACUUUUGACCUCGGAUCAGGUUGGGAUACCCGCUGAACUUAAGC
rnacentral:misc_RNA from 1 species